rnacentral:lncRNA from 1 species
UUUCAUAUUUGGCACUUUUAUGCUGAGGUUUUUACAAUGAUCGCAGCCCUUUCCAUUGUUACCUGGCUUGGCUUCUCUUGCUUCUGACACAACACUGUGCCAACAAUCUUAAGUUUCGGAUCUACUUCCGGUAUACGAACUCGCUGUCAUGGAAUGCCGAAUGCUCAGUUCUUUGUAUAACUUUCUUUGUUUUUUGGUGGAGUCGUGUAUGUAGGCGAAGCUUCAUGUAAAGGAAUAAUGGUUACAUUUUCAAAAAAAUGUUUCCCAAAACAGCUGAACCCAUCCAGUUUACAAAGACCAUUCAGAACAUAGUGGUGAGCGAAUACCAGUCUGCAACCUUUGAGUGCGAGGUAUCCUUUGAUGAUGCAGUCGUCACAUGGUAUAAAGGCAAAGUUGAACUCAGGGAGAGUCAAAAGUACAGUUUCAGAAGUGAAGGCCGUUGCCAUUACAUGACUAUCCACAACGUUACUGCAGAUGAUGAAGGUAAUGUUACACUAUUUGCUUCCUUCCCUUGCUGUCACCCCCCGUUGCUGACAAAAAUAAUGUCACAUAACAAAUUGCCUUUGUGAUUUCAGGGGUGUAUUCUGUCAUUGCUCGUCUUGAGCCAAGAGGUGAAGCAAGAAGCACUGCUGAACUUUAUCUGACUACUAAAGGUUAGUAAAUGCUUUCUUCAACUUAAAAAACAACAACACAGGACGUAAGAUGGAAGGGUGGAAAUGAUGUCCGCGAAGUGGAAAUAAUUUCAAAUGCAAAUCUACUUUCUUCUCUUGCAGAAAUUAAACUGGAAGUGAAGCCCCCAGAUAUCCCAGAUGCUAGAGUUGCAGUUCCUGUUGAAGUUCCAGCUGAAGGUAAGCCUUAUAUACAAAAGAGUCCGCUGUUAAGGGUGGGAGAGCAAGUGGUUUAGAACUUGUGUGCCGUAUGAGUGUUCAUUGAUUGAAUUUUCCCUUGCGUUUAUCAGAAACUCCUGCUCUUCCUCUCUUCCUUCUUAUGCCAGAAGAGAAGAAAAAGGAAAAAGUCGUUAAAAAGACAACCGUGCAGAAAGUCACCAAAAAGGUGGUUCCAAAAGCUCCAGAAGAAGUUGCCCCUCCUAAAGCUCCUGCAAAGAAACCUCAGGAAGUCAAAGUAACCACUGUAGCUAAGAAGAAAGAAGCAGUUUAUGAGAAGAAGGAAGAAGUAUAUGAGGUUCACAAAGAAGAAUAUGAAGAAUGGGAAGAGGAUUAUGGAGAGAAGCAUGAAUAUUAUGAACGAGAAGAAGGAUACGAUGAAGGAGAAGAGGAAUGGGCAUAUGGAGAAAGACAAGUAACUUAUGAGGAAAAGCAAAUUCGCAAAGAAGUUGUCCAGGUCCCAGGAAAGCCAGAACCACCUACGCGGAAACCACCAGAGAUUUCAGCCAAGAAAGUAGAGAAGAAAGUUGUGGUAGAAAAAGUUACACGGAAACCUGUAACCGAAGAGGUGGAAAGAAAGGCUAAAGUGAUGGAGGAAGAACAUCUCAAACGGGCCAGAGCUCCAGAAGCUCCACCACCAAAACCUGCACGAAAGGUGGUCCAUGAAGAAGUGGUAGAGAGAAAAGUACCAACAGAACAACAAUGGACCAUUUCAGAAGAAAAGGUGUCUGUUUCAUAUCACAGAGAAGAAGAAUAUACAUAUGGUUCAGAACCAGAAGAGUAUGAAGAGGACAGCUUCUAUGUGGAAUAUCCAGCUGAAGAACCAGAUGAGUACGAUGAGGAAAGGUUCUAUGUGGAAGCACCUGAAGUUCCACCUCCCAAAGGUAGAUUAUAUUAUUAUUAAUAUUAUUAUUAUUACUACUACUACAAUUUUAGUAUGUGAGUUUAUUUAAACCAGGGUUUCGCAAACUUAGGUCUUCAGCUGUUUUGGGACUACAAUUCCCAUCAGCCAUGACCACUGGUCCUGCUAGCUAGGGAUUAUGGGAGUUGUAGUCCAAAAACAGCUGGAGACCCAAGUUUUGGGAAACCCUGGUUUAAACUCUUAUCCAUUAAGAACUUGAUAUCUGCAGUUAUUUAUAUCCUUGUUGAUCAGAUUUGGGUGUUUAUGUAUUUUUACAUGUGUCACAAAAGCCUGUAAGUUUUAAAAAAUAUAAUGUGAGGGUGGCUCUGAUGACCACUAUCAUCUGAUUAACCCAAAAUUAAUAUCUUUAAAGUUCCUGAGGUGAGGAAGAGAGCAGAAGAAAAAGUUCCCAAGGAAGUGGAGGCCCCGCCGGCUAAAGGUGAAUAAUAUAUGUGCAAUAAUCACAAUAUCUCAGACAGGUCUCUAGCCUGCGUAUCUUCUAGAGGAUUGAUAAACACA